CCAACAGGGAUUGCCCCAGUAACGGCGAGUGAAGCGGCAAUAGCUCAAAUUUGAAAUCUGGCCCUUUCAGGGUCCGAGUUGUAAUUUGCAGAGGGCGCUUUGGAGUCGGCAGCAGCCUAAGUUCCUUGGAACAGGUCAUCAUAGAGGGUGAGAAUCCCGUAUGUGGCUGCUUGUCUUCGCCGUGUAAAGCCCCUUCGAUGAGUCGAGUUGUUUGGGAAUGCAGCUCUAAAUGGGAGGUAAAUUUCUUCUAAAGCUAAAUAUUGGCCAGAGACCGAUAGCGCACAAGUAGAGUGAUCGAAAGAUGAAAAGCACUUUGGAAAGAGAGUCAAAAAGCACGUGAAAUUGUUGAAAGGGAAGCGCUUGCAGCCAGACGUGCCUGUAGUUGCUCAUCUGGGGAUUCUCCCCAGUGCACUCUUCUACGGGCAGGCCAGCAUCAGUCCGGGCGGUUGGAGAAAACGCUGUGUCACGUAGCUCUCUUCGGAGAGUGUUAUAGGGCAGCAAGAAUACAACCAGCCUGGACUGAGGUCCGCGCAUCUGCUAGGAUGCUGGCGUAAUGGCUGUAAGCGGCCCGUCUUGAAACACGACCAAGGAGUCUAACAUCUAUGCGAGUGUUUGGGUGUCAAGCCCGAGCGCGUAAUGAAAGUGAACGGAGGUGGGAACCCUUUGGGGUGCACCAUCGACCGAUCCUGAUGUCUUCGGAUGGAUUUGAGUAAGAGCAUAGCUGUUGGGACCCGAAAGAUGGUGAACUAUGCCUGAAUAGGGUGAAGCCAGAGGAAACUCUGGUGGAGGCUCGCAGCGGUUCUGACGUGCAAAUCGAUCGUCAAAUUUGGGCAUAGGGGCGAAAGA
rnacentral:rRNA from 1 species